AAAAAGGGUCGUUUGGCUAAAUAGGCCACACUUGCCCUUGGAUGGUGAAUGCUGUAUGGCUAUAAAGACAUAUAGCCAACAAAAUUUGUGGGUCCCACAUAGGGUUGGCUCACUCGGCCGACCCUCUUA